GUCUGCUUCCCCCACCAGCUGCUGCUCCAUUUUUCUCUAUAUUUGAUGAAUCGUCUACUUUGACAAAUCAGAACAUAAGGUAGAAUUAUUCAAGGCCUAGAUGAUUUCAGAGGGAAGGAAAACGGAAGCACCAAAGCCCUUGCUGUGGCAGCUGAAAUAACUGUUUCUUGCAGGGAUGUGUGGGGUUGUUCAGCAGGUCGUAGCCGGAAAAGUGCCCGUCACCCUCUCGCUGUUCUUAAGCCUGUGGAUUCUCUGAGUGCCAAGGAAAGCGCAGCAGCAGCAGCAGCAGCAGCAGCAGCAGCCUGUAAUGAGCUGAAUGGAAUUGAACGUUUGGCUGAGGAUGCAAUUGUGACAGGCUCCUACAAGAACAAGACCCUUUGUGCCAACCCAGAGGACACGUGUGACUUUAACAGGGCUGCCCACCUGGCCUCAACGCCCUUCCACGGGGUGGUGGCUCAGAGAGUCCCAGCUCCUGCUUUCUCUCAGAGUGAACUGAAGGAGGAAGAUAGUCCAGAAUCCAGGAGUGCACCUCAGACUCAGGAGACACCAGUGUGUGAAGGAGCAUACACUGAAGCUCUCAG